GGUUAAGCGACUAAGCGUACACGGUGGAUGCCCUGGCAGUCAGAGGCGAUGAAGGACGUGCUAAUCUGCGAUAAGCGUCGGUGAGGUGAUAUGAACCGUUAUAACCGGCGAUUUCCGAAUGGGGAAACCCAGUGUGUUUCGACACACUAUCAUUAACUGAAUCCAUAGGUUAAUGAGGCGAACCGGGGGAACUGAAACAUCUAAGUACCCCGAGGAAAAGAAAUCAACCGAGAUUCCCCCAGUAGCGGCGAGCGAACGGGGAGGAGCCCAGAGCCUGAAUCAGUGUGUGUGUUAGUGGAAGCGUCUGGAAAGGCGCGCGAUACAGGGUGACAGCCCCGUACACAAAAAUGCACAUAUUGUGAGCUCGAUGAGUAGGGCGGGACACGUGGUAUCCUGUCUGAAUAUGGGGGGACCAUCCUCCAAGGCUAAAUACUCCUGACUGACCGAUAGUGAACCAGUACCGUGAGGGAAAGGCGAAAAGAACCCCGGCGAGGGGAGUGAAAAAGAACCUGAAACCGUGUACGUACAAGCAGUGGGAGCCUCUUAAUGGGGUGACUGCGUACCUUUUGUAUAAUGGGUCAGCGACUUAUAUUCUGUAGCAAGGUUAACCGAAUAGGGGAGCCGAAGGGAAACCGAGUCUUAACUGGGCGUUAAGUUGCAGGGUAUAGACCCGAAACCCGGUGAUCUAGCCAUGGGCAGGUUGAAGGUUGGGUAACACUAACUGGAGGACCGAACCGACUAAUGUUGAAAAAUUAGCGGAUGACUUGUGGCUGGGGGUGAAAGGCCAAUCAAACCGGGAGAUAGCUGGUUCUC
rnacentral:rRNA from 1 species